rnacentral:rRNA from 1 species
AUUGAACGCUGGCGGCAUGCCUUACACAUGCAAGUCGAACGGUAACAGGUCUUCGGAUGCUGACGAGUGGCGAACGGGUGAGUAAUACAUCGGAACGUGCCCGAGAGUGGGGGAUAACGAGGCGAAAGCUUUGCUAAUACCGCAUACGAUCUCAGGAUGAAAGCAGGGGACCGCAAGGCCUUGCGCUCACGGAGCGGCCGAUGGCAGAUUAGGUAGUUGGUGGGAUAAAAGCUUGCCAAGCCGACGAUCUGUAGCUGGUCUGAGAGGACGACCAGCCACACGGGGACUGAGACACGGCCCAGACUCCUACGGGAGGCAGCAGUGGGGAAUUUUGGACAAUGGGCGCAAGCCUGAUCCAGCCAUGCCGCGUGCAGGAUGAAGGCCUUCGGGUUGUAAACUGCUUUUGUACGGAACGAAAAGACUCUGGUUAAUACCUGGGGUCCAUGACGGUACCGUAAGAAUAAGCACCGGCUAACUACGUGCCAGCAGCCGCCGCAGUAA